GAACCGGCAAUGAAAACGGUCCGGUCCACCUCUAAUAACCGCCCAUUUGAAAACCGUUUCAAAACCGUCAAACCGGUCGAAAACCGGCCGGUUGGACCGAACCGGUAACCGGCCGGUUCUCUGUAAACGGUAUCGUUUUGAUUAUUUUCAAAAAAAAAAAAAGAAAGAAAAAGCGUUACCUUUACAGCUUUACUCACUCCCCCCUUCCCCACCACACCCCCCAAUUUGUGAAUCCCUCUGAACUUUGAAGCAAAGUUAAAUCACCAAACCAAAACCCUAGGUCCUCCCUGCAACUGUUCUGCCGCAGUGCUGCCGCCGUCCAUGUUGUUGGCGCUGUCUGUGGCCAGGCCCUCUCUUGUAGCUCGGCCUCCUCCUUCCCCCUGUCCUCCAUCCGUCCUCCAUGGCUUCUCUGUUUUGUUGGCUUGGAGCAGCUCGCCACUCACCGUCGUCUCCCCGGUCGCCGUCCGUGACUCCGUCGAUGGGAUUAGGGAUUACUUGUUGCUGUUUUGUAAUGUUUUUUGCUGAAUGCUAAAAUUGAAAAUCAAAGGGUAGUACAAAUCAGGACACAAUGAAACCGGCACAACAUGGAUUCAUCCCUUUUGUCCUCAUCAGAAUGCAUAACAUGUUGCAUGUGCAUAGUGUUUAUAGUCCUCUAACCUGAGUGCCUAGCUUUGGCACUAGUUCCCUAAAUAGAGUAUUUGGUCAUUAAUUUGUAUGUGUGGAAUUCGAGCCACCUUGUGCCACUCCUUCCCACUAUUUGGUUUAAGUCUUGGAGUCAGCAAAGGGCAUUCUUGGACAUAAAGUUGAUUAAGGGUGGAAGGAAGUUCUUCAUCAGGCAAGAAAUAAAGGAUGUCACAGCAAUGAAUUUCAAGUAUAUGAAGAGCAUUCAGAUAUUGGAACCUCUGUAGUUUAGCUUCUUGAGACACUUCAAUGUGCUUAUGCGCAGUGAGCUUAUAUUGGGAGGAAGUAUCAUGUCCUCUGGAAAUGAAUCCACCAUCGGCAUGAUUUCUGAAUCAAAAUCCCAACUCUCUCAGCAAAUUGAAUCGAAUUAACCAGACAUUCCUCUUCUUUUUCUUUUAGUUGAUUCUUAAUUUUUCCAAUAGAUGUAACUUUCUGAAUCAAGUGGAUCAGAUCAUGUAGCUUUUUUUAUUUGGGAUAUUUUAGGAGACGCAUUAGAAGAGCUAUUUUGUAUUAUGUUUGCUAUAAUAAUAUUCACAUGUUGUGUAUGCUUGUGAUU